GACGAAGGGGGCUAGCGUUGUUCGGAAUUACUGGGCGUAAAGCGCGUGCAGGCGGUUAUCCAAGUUGGAUGUGAAAGCCUUGAGCUCAACUCAAGAAAUGCAUUCAGGACUGGGUGACUAGAGGACCGGAGAGGAUAGUGGAAUUCCCAGUGUAGUGGUGAAAUACGUAGAGAUUGGGAAGAACACCAGUGGCGAAGGCGGCUAUCUGGACGGUUUCUGACGCUGAGACGCGAAAGCGUGGGGAGCAAACAGG
rnacentral:rRNA from 1 species